CUCCCAUCUGCAGAGGUAGUUUAAACAGGUACAGCUCGAACAGACUGAAUUUUUCCUUUACUGCCUUCUGGGCUCAGACCAGAGCAGGGAUCCUGCUGCCUCCAUGGAACAGGUACCCAGGUCUCAGCAGGAUGAAGGAGCCUCCUUGGGGGCUGCAGCAGGGCCUCCCUCCCGUCUUUCAGCCCUCCCGGCGACAAUUUUGGUUGCUAGAUGUCUCAAUUCCAAAGCAGCAGCAGAAGUCAGAGGUGAAUUAGCAGCCAAGAGCAGCCAAGAUCCCAGCUCAUCAACUGCUCAUACUGGUGGGAGAAAGGGUGCUGAAAGCCAAACCUCUUUCCAAUGCUCCAGGAGUGCAGCACAAGCCCUGCAGACAUUAUAGGAAAAUAUGAACUGCAUCAUAUCUGUAGAAACUUGUUUUAUUAGAGACAUGAGUACUAACAACCUUCUCUGCAUAAUCUCUGAAGGAAACAGACUGGCUUUGUAAGGGAGAGACAGAUGAGAACAAACUAUACUUGGAUAAAAGAACAACUGGAAAUAUGUUGUGUAAGAGGAGGUUCUGGCCGAGCACUUUCCAAAGCCUGAGAACUCCUAUCAGUGGCAACUUCUGUCAUUUCUGAUGGCGAACAUCCCAUGGGCUGCUAGGGCAGGGAAUGUCUCCAGAUCCGCCUGAGGGCUUUCCCAGUCCAGCUGCUGCAGCAGCAGCCUCCUCUCCCAAGCUUCAGAAGCACCAUCUGGAUGCAACAAGAGGACCUUCAAACUACUGUUUGCCACAUCUUCAGCCCUUCCUCCACCCUAUGAAGCAUGUCUUUGAGUGAGUUCAUCAUCCUGCUUUCUCAGCAGGUGAAAAUACGCUCCUUUUUAGCAUCCCAGGGAAGACAUGGCAAGUGCUGAGGUGUAAUAGCAGACUUUGAUCAUCCUCAAGGUUUUUGAACCUGUAUUGUCCUCUUGACACCCAUGACUUGAAUACAGUCUGGAACUGAU